rnacentral:lncRNA from 1 species
UCCUCCAGCAUGGCCGUUCUUUCGACCCUCGUGAGUCCAUCCUCCGAAUAGGGGGCUUCUGCGAGACAAUGGACCGUUGAUGACCAGCCCCGCCAAUUAAGCUAGCACGAGGCCCGAUUGGCGCUGUCUCCCUUCCGCCAUCAAUAUAGAGGGACAAGUGCCACUCCUUCCUUGGCCAUUGGUCCGUCUUCAUCCAUGGUUGCUCCGGUCGCUACUAAGCCUACUAUGGAUGGGAGACACAGAAUAUCCACAGCUCAUGAAUCUGUUAAACCGGUGACAUCAAAAUUAACCUCCCCUAGGAAGAAGAAGUCUGUCCUCAGCAUUGUCUCAGACGAAGCCAUAGUUUGAAACAGAAGAGUACUGUGAUCCCUCAUCUUCGGGCUUGAUCCUUCAUUCUUUCGCCCCCGAAUUGCUGAUCAAAUGUGCAGGGGGAUGCGGUGUUAAAUUGAAUGCUGAGGAUCUGGAGAAAUUCAUUCAAAUUAUUCUAAGCAUGGGCUUGGAAAGGGCGGCUAAGAAAACCUCACGAAUAUUCUGUUCUCAGAUAUAUAUAUAUAUUUUUUGGGUUUAGUUUUUUAUUUUUUUAUUUUUAUUUUUUUUUUGGAGAUCAUCUCCUAUCACCUGCUCUUCACAGUUGCUCUUGCUUUUGUUCUUCUUUUAUCGGAUCCAUAAUGACAUCCAUUCUCAACGGUUGAUGCUUUAAA